GACGAACGCUGGCGGCGCGCUUAACACAUGCAAGUCGAGCGAGAACCGGGGCUUCGGCCCCGGGGACAGCGGCGAACGGGUGAGUAACACGUGGGUAGCCUGCCCUCGGCACCGGGAUAGCCCGGGGAAACCCGGAUUAAUACCGGACAGCCUCCGGAGCCUUCGGGCGCCGGAGAAAAGGUGGCUUCGGCUUCCGGCCGCGGAGGGGCCGGCGGCGGAUUAGCUUGUUGGCGGGGUAACGGCCCACCAAGGCGACGAUCCGUAGCUGGUCUGGGAGGACGAUCAGCCACACUGGGUCUGAGACACGGCCCGGACUCCUACGGGAGGCAGCAGUGGGGAAUCUUGCACAAUGGGCGCAAGCCUGAUGCAGCGACGCCGUGUGCGGGAAGAAGGCCUUCGGGUUGUAAACCGCUUUCAGGAGGGACGAAGCUCCUCGGGUUAAUAGCCCAGAGGGUGACGGUACCUCCAGAAGAAGCCCCGGCUAACUACGUGCCAGCAGCCGCGGUAACAC
rnacentral:rRNA from 1 species